GAUGAACGCUGGCGGCGUGCCUAAUACAUGCAAGUCGAGCGAACAGAUGAGGAGCUUGCUCCUCUGACGUUAGCGGCGGACGGGUGAGUAACACGUGGAUAACCUACCUAUAAGACUGGGAUAACUUCGGGAAACCGGAGCUAAUACCGGAUAAUAUAUUGAACCGCAUGGUUCAAUAGUGAAAGACUGUUUUGCUGUCACUUAUAGAUGGAUCCGCGCCGCAUUAGCUAGUUGGUAAGGUAACGGCUUACCAAGGCAACGAUGCGUAGCCGACCUGAGAGGGUGAUCGGCCACACUGGAACUGAGACACGGUCCAGACUCCUACGGGAGGCAGCAGUAGGGAAUCUUCCGCAAUGGGCGAAAGCCUGACGGAGCAACGCCGCGUGAGUGAUGAAGGUCUUCGGAUCGUAAAACUCUGUUAUUAGGGAAGAACAAAUGUGUAAGUAACUAUGCACGUCUUGACGGUACCUAAUCAGAAAGCCACGGCUAACUACGUG
rnacentral:rRNA from 1 species